AAGUUCUGAUUAUUGAAAGGUGCUUGCAUCUUGAUUUAAUUUUGAACGAGUGGCGGACGGGUGAGUAACACGUGGGUAACCUGCCCUUAAGUGGGGGAUAACAUUUGGAAACAGAUGCUAAUACCGCAUAAAUCCAAGAACCGCAUGGUUCUUGGCUGAAAGAUGGCGUAAGCUAUCGCUUUUGGAUGGACCCGCGGCGUAUUAGCUAGUUGGUGAGGUAACGGCUCACCAAGGCAAUGAUACGUAGCCGAACUGAGAGGUUGAUCGGCCACAUUGGGACUGAGACACGGCCCAAACUCCUACGGGAGGCAGCAGUAGGGAAUCUUCCACAAUGGACGCAAGUCUGAUGGAGCAACGCCGCGUGAGUGAAGAAGGCUUUCGGGUCGUAAAACUCUGUUGUUGGAGAAGAAUGGUCGGCAGAGUAACUGUUGUCGGCGUGACGGUAUCCAACCAGAAAGCCACGGCUAACUACGUGCCAGCAGCCGCGGUAAUACGUAGGUGGCAAGCGUUAUCCGGAUUUAUUGGGCGUAAAGCGAGCGCAGGCGGUUUUUUAAGUCUGAUGUGAAAGCCCUCGGCUUAACCGAGGAAGUGCAUCGGAAACUGGGAAACUUGAGUGCAGAAGAGGACAGUGGAACUCCAUGUGUAGCGGUGAAAUGCGUAGAUAUAUGGAAGAACACCAGUGGCGAAGGCGGCUGUCUGGUCUGUAACUGACGCUGAGGCUCGAAAGCAUGGGUAGCGAACAGGAUUAGAUACCCUGGUAGUCCAUGCCGUAAACGAUGAAUGCUAGGUGUUGGAGGGUUUCCGCCCUUCAGUGCCGCAGCUAACGCAUUAAGCAUUCCGCCUGGGGAGUACGACCGCAAGGUUGAAACUCAAAGGGAAUUGACGGGGGCCCGCACAAGCGGUGGAGCAUGUGGUUUAAUUCGAAGCAACGCGAAGAACCUUACCAGGUCUUGACAUCUUUUGAUCACCUGAGAGAUCAGGUUUCCCCUUCGGGGGCAAAAUGACAGGUGGUGCAUGGUUGUCGUCAGCUCGUGUCGUGAGAUGUUGGGUUAAGUCCCGCAACGAGCGCAACCCUUAUGACUAGUUGCCAGCAUUUAGUUGGGCACUCUAGUAAGACUGCCGGUGACAAACCGGAGGAAGGUGGGGAUGACGUCAAAUCAUCAUGCCCCUUAUGACCUGGGCUACACACGUGCUACAAUGGAUGGUACAACGAGUUGCGAGACCGCGAGGUCAAGCUAAUCUCUUAAAGCCAUUCUCAGUUCGGACUGUAGGCUGCAACUCGCCUACACGAAGUCGGAAUCGCUAGUAAUCGCGGAUCAGCACGCCGCGGUGAAUACGUUCCCGGGCCUUGUACACACCGCCCGUCACACCAUGAGAGUUUGUA
rnacentral:rRNA from 2 species